UACGUAGGGGGCAAGCGUUGUCCGGAAUUAUUGGGCGUAAAGAGCGCGUAGGCGGUCCGAUAAGUCGGCUGUGAAAGUCCAGGGCUCAACCCUGGAAAGCCGGCCGAUACUGUCGGACUAGAGUCCGGAAGAGGCAAGUGGAAUUCCCGGUGUAGCGGUGAAAUGCGCAGAUAUCGGGAGGAACACCAAUGGCGAAGGCAGCUUGCUGGGACGGUACUGACGCUGAGGCGCGAAAGCGUGGGAGCAAC
rnacentral:rRNA from 1 species